rnacentral:rRNA from 1 species
UCGAGAAUCUUCGGCAAUGGGCGCAAGCCUGACCGAGCGACGCCGCGUGGAGGAUGAAGGCCUUCGGGUUGUAAACUCCUGUCAGGGGGGAGGAAAGCCAAGGGGGCUAUCCCUUUUGGUUGACCUAUCCCCAGAGGAAGCACGGGCUAAGUUCGUGCCAGCAGCCGCGGUAAGACGAACCGUGCGAACGUUGUUCGGAAUCACUGGGCUUAAAGGGCGCGUAGGCGGUUUGCUAAGUCGGUGGUGAAAUCCUACGGCUCAACCGUAGAACGGCCGCUGAUACUGGCAUGCUUGAGGGAGGUAGAGGUGUGUGGAACUUCCGGUGGAGCGGUGAAAUGCGUUGAUAUCGGAAGGAACACCGGUGGCGAAAGCGACGCACUGGACCUCUUCUGACGCUGAGGCGCGAAAGCUAGGGUAGCGAACGGGAUUAGAUACCCCCGUAGUCC